UUCCUUUUCCCAUUUGCCAUAUAUUGCCUAAGGGAAUUAAAGUGAACUUAUUCCAUUUCAAAAUCUUUCCCUAAGCCCAAGCCUAUGAACUAUCCCUCGGUAGGAGCAAAAUGGGCUAAUGACGAUUUAACAUCGGCCCAAUUUGGCCCAACAGCCGCGCUACUAGAUGGGCCAAAAAUAGGCCUACUAUCAGCAGCAUAUAGGCCCAUAGCCCCAGAGUAGCGGCCCGACUGCCCCUGUCUGACACGAGCCGCGGCGGCGUGGUCUCUCGCCUCUCGCUGCUCGACGGCCGGGCUCGCCGUCUUACGGCGGCGCCAUCGCCGUCUUCUCGCGAGUCGAGGCGAGAGGCCGCCCCCGUGGCCGUGGCCCUUCACGCAUAGAGGCAAGGGCAACUCGUCCUCUUCCACGUCGCUCCGCGAGGCCUCCGCCGUCUUCCGGUCCGGUCCCACGAGUCCGCGCUGUGCCCUAGCCCUACCGAAGAAAGGGAUCGAGAUUUCAGCUGAACAUGAUAUUGGCAUAAGCCUGCUUAAUUACCUUCUGCCAAGGGCUGUCUAGCCUUGCAUUGGACAACACAUGGAGCCCUGGUGAGACAAGUUGGAUCGUUGCAGGCUGCCCCUUUGGCCGAUUUGACACAUAAACCAUGACGUUUGUGGUCAGAUCAGCCAGUACAAGGUUGAAGCCGUUGUAC